GAUGAACGCUGGCGGCGUGCCUAAUACAUGCAAGUCGAGCGAACAGACGAGGAUCUUGCUCCUCUGACGUUAGCGGCGGACGGGUGAGUAACACGUGGAUAACCUACCUAUAAGACUUGGAUAACUUCGGGAAACCGGAGCUAAUACCGGGAAAUAUAUUUAACCGCAUGGUGCAAGAGUGAAAGACGGUUUUGCUGUCACUUAUAGAUGGAUCCGCUCGUCAUUAGCUAGUUGGUAAGGUAACGGCUUACCAAGGCAACGAUGCGUAGCCGACCUGAGAGCGUGAUCGGCCACACUGGAACUGAGACGCGGUCCAGACUCCUACGGGAGGCAGCAGUAGGGAAUCUUCCGAAAUGGGCGAAAGCUUGACGGAGCAACGCCGCGUGAGUGAUGAAGGUCUUCGGAUCGUAAAACUCUGUUAUUAGGGAAGAACAAAUGUGUACGUAACUAUGCACGUCUUGACGGUACCUAAUCAGAAAGCCACGGCUAACUACGUG
rnacentral:rRNA from 1 species